UACAGGAGGCCUCGAGCGUUAGGCGGAAUCACUGGGCUUAAAGCGUGUGUAGGCCGGACUUCUAAAGUACCUUGUGAAAUCCCACGGCUUACCCGUGGAACUGCUCGGUAUACUGGUUGUCUUGAGCCACCUAGGGGCGAGUGGAACAAUGGUGGAGCGGUGAAAUGACGUAGAUAAGUCAUUUGGAACGCCAAUGGUGAAAACAACU
rnacentral:rRNA from 1 species